rnacentral:rRNA from 1 species
GAUGAACGCCGGCGGCGUGCCUAAUACAUGCAAGUCGAGCGAACGGACGAGAAGCUUGCUUCUCUGAUGUUAGCGGCGGACGGGUGAGUAACACGUGGAUAACCUACCUAUAAGACUGGGAUAACUUCGGGAAACCGGAGCUAAUACCGGAUAAUAUUUUGAACCGCAUGGUUCAAAAGUGAAAGACGGUCUUGCUGUCACUUAUAGAUGGAUCCGCGCUGCAUUAGCUAGUUGGUAAGGUAACGGCUUACCAAGGCAACGAUGCAUAGCCGACCUGAGAGGGUGAUCGGCCACACUGGAACUGAGACACGGUCCAGACUCCUACGGGAGGCAGCAGUAGGGAAUCUUCCGCAAUGGGCGAAAGCCUGACGGAGCAACGCCGCGUGAGUGACGAAGGUCUUCGGAUCGUAAAACUCUGUUAUUAGGGAAGAACAUAUGUGUAAGUAACUGUGCACAUCUUGACGGUACCUAAUCAGAAAGCCACGGCUAACUACGUGCCAGCAGCCGCGGUAAUACGUAGGUGGCAAGCGUUAUCUGGAAUUAUUGGGCGUAAAGCGCGCGUAGGCGGUUUUUUAAGUCUGAUGUGAAAGCCCACGGCUCAACCGUGGAGGGUCAUUGGAAACUGGAAAACUUGAGUGCAGAAGAGGAAAGUGGAAUUCCAUGUGUAGCGGUGAAAUGCGCAGAGAUAUGGAGGAACACCAGUGGCGAAGGCGACUUUCUGGUCUGUAACUGACGCUGAUGUGCGAAAGCGUGGGGAUCAAACAGGAUUAGAUACCCUGGUAGUCCACGCCGUAAACGAUGAGUGCUAAGUGUUAGGGGGUUUCCGCCCCUUAGUGCUGCAGCUAACGCAUUAAGCACUCCGCCUGGGGAGUACGACCGCAAGGUUGAAACUCAAAGGAAUUGACGGGGACCCGCACAAGCGGUGGAGCAUGUGGUUUAAUUCGAAGCAACGCGAAGAACCUUACCAAAUCUUGACAUCCUUUGACAACUCUAGAGAUAGAGCUUUCCCCUUCGGGGGACAAAGUGACAGGUGGUGCAUGGUUGUCGUCAGCUCGUGUCGUGAGAUGUUGGGUUAAGUCCCGCAACGAGCGCAACCCUUAAGCUUAGUUGCCAUCAUUAAGUUGGGCACUCUAAGUUGACUGCCGGUGACAAACCGGAGGAAGGUGGGGAUGACGUCAAAUCAUCAUGCCCCUUAUGAUUUGGGCUACACACGUGCUACAAUGGACAAUACAAAGGGCAGCGAAACCGCGAGGUCAAGCAAAUCCCAUAAAGUUGUUCUCAGUUCGGAUUGUAGUCUGCAACUCGACUACAUGAAGCUGGAAUCGCUAGUAAUCGUAGAUCAGCAUGCUACGGUGAAUACGUUCCCGGGUCU